UUGCCUUACUGUUCCAUAUGAGUAAUGAGUAAAAUGAGUAAAAAUACUUUUGGAGGGGACUGUAUCUGGCACCAAAACAUCCUGUAAGUUGCGAGGUGGGACCUUUUGGAUGUUUAGAACAUUAAUUAACAUUAGAUGCUGACUGAUCCUAUCCUAAAUCUGAAGUUAAGCUGCCGUUAAGCUAUUUAUCUCAUACCCUUUUUCCAUGGUAAAUGAUACCACCUAAAAGUCUGCCCGCAAACAGCUGUGCUCUCAGUUACUGCGCGCACUGCAUUCUAAUGUGUUUCUCCAAGUCUGGACACUGAUCAGGGAACAGUUUGGGGAAAGUUGAAAUGAGGGUUGCGAGAGUGUAAUCGGCUGCGACCACAUUGUCCUAAAGCCUUCAUCUAAGUUGAUCGUGUUAUCAAUGCUUUUUAUACUUUUUUAUUGAUAGGCUAUAGCCUACAUAUAAUUACGGAGGUCCAGACCUCGGUGACCUCAUAGUUGGUUACGGCCAUGGGUAGGUGGUACAUGUCAAAGUAACAUCCACAUGAAUGGCAGGACCCAAGGUUUGCCAGCAGAACAUUGCCCAAAGCAUCACACUGCCACCGCCGGCUUGCCUUCUUCCCAUAGUUCAUCCUGGUGCCAUGUGUUCCCCAGAUAAGCAACGCACAAGCACCCAGCCAUCCACGUGAUGUUAAAGUAUGACAAGCCGUUUGAUUUAUUCCUUAAAACUUACUAGCUGCUAUUCAAAAGCUACUAGUACUUAUUUAUUAGUCACAAGUAACUAUUUUUAGUUACUAGCACUGGUAACUAAAACAUAGUUGCUAGUGACAAAUGGAAUAGUUACUAGUAACUAAAAAUUAAGUAAUCAAUUGUUACUAGUAAUUGCACAUUGCCAAUGAUAUCUAUGGGGCUCUGCAGUUCAGAUAUCAUCUUUUAAUUAGUUGCUAGUAACUAAUUGAAUAGUAACUAGUAACCAUUUCCAUUUUGCUAGUCAAUAUUAUUUAGCUACUAGUGCUUACUAGUAGUAACUAUUCCAUUAGUUACUAGUAAGAAUUAAAAUUGUACAAUCAAAAAGCCAUUUUACUAGUCAUCAAGAAUGAAAAUGUUACGAGUAUCUUCUGGAAUAGUUACUAGUGACUAAUGAAUAUAGUAUCUAAAUAACAGAUACUAGUAAAAUUUAAAUAGUUUCUUAUAUCUUUUGGAAUAGUUACUAGUAGCCUAACUAAUGAAUAGAUGAUAUCUAAACUGUAGAGCCCCAUAGAUUUCAAUGGGUAAAAUGGUUCACCGUUUUCCUUCCUCGGACCACUUUUGAUAGGUAGCCCUAACCACUGCAGACCGGCAACACCCCACGAGAGCUGCAGUUAUGGAGACACUCUGACUCAGUCAUUUGCCAUCAUGAUUUGGCCCUUGUCAAAGUUACUGCCUAAUAUACUGUAUACUACCCACUGACAGUGGUGAUAAUGUUAUGGCUGAUCAGUGUACUAUACACGUACAGUAGGCUAUAGUUGAUAUGAGUCAAAGAUGUAAAAGGUUUUCAAAGUAGCAAAAAAUAAAACAGCAAUAACAUUUCCCAGAACAGUCUUUAAUAUGUUCAUUGUAGUUUCACUCAUGCCCUUAAAUUAGUUAAAUUCGAGAAUAAAGCUAAUAAUUCAUUUUUAUUGUGAUUGAUAUGAAUGUAACUUGGUAAAAUGUCAUUCAGUAGAAUACAACACUAAGUGCAUUUAAAAAAAAACUUUUAUGUCCAUUUUUCAUAAUCACAAGGUUAUAUGUCAAUACUUAGAAUGGCAGAAAUAUUGCUACCCAAAAAAAAGCCACAUAUUUAAUGCAUCAUGGGUACAACUCAAAUUCUGUAGGUUUUUUACAAAUAUCUUGAACCUAAAAAAAUUUAAUAGUAUAUUUCACGUCAUCCUUUGAGAUUUAUUAUCAUCUCUCUGAGUCAAAAAAACAAAGUUAUUGUAUUUAAUAAAUAUACUAGUGUUAUACUGUGUAUAUUAAUAUUUUGUUACCCUGACAGAUUUCAUGCACAUACUUAACAGGCAGUUCCUUGGCCACCUAUAUAAAGUAAUAAUAAUAAUCUGUGCUGUACUGAAGGACAUGCAUUUUUGUUACAAACAUUAGUAGAGGGUCAAAUAGUGAAAUCAUCAUAGAUUUACUGACUUCUGCCUGGAGAUAGAGGGUCUUAAAUGGGUCUUCUUUUUGAUGUCACACACUUUGAUGUCACAUUAUUACCAGCAUGUGAUUUGCUUUAAAAUGGCUUCAUUUUUGUUAUACUGAAAUUAUUAUAUUAAUCAUUUUUUAAAAUAUUUUUAGCAACUCUUAUGUUUCCUAUUAUGCAAUGGGUGUUCAUUUAUCUUUUUAGGAUGAACUACCUUUCCUUUAAUUUAAUAGUUUGAAAUAUUUCUAGGUUAAAGGAAGGGUAAGAGUUGAUAUUAAUCUGUUAUUAUGUUAAAUUAAUGGCCUUUGGACACCAAAUUUCUUUUUUGACCCAUAUCUCUCUUUCUCUACUAAAAAUAACUAACGUUAUCUUGGAUGUUGUUGCCUGUGAUACUCUCCUUGUGCCCAGACUAACUAUAGGCCUAAGGCAAAACAAACACACAUGCCUGGGAAGUGAAACUUUUCAGGAAAGAGGAACACAACAUUUCAUCAACUGUGCUAGAGCAAAGUGGCAUAACAAGGGCAGACUGGACACCAGGACAGAUAAGCAGGACCCAAAAUGAAAAAAAAAACGUUGUCAGAUCACAUCACUUUUUGUGACUUUUUUUGGUAAACCAAAAACAACGCGUCUUUCACAGAAAAACACUGACCUGACUUCGGAAUCUUGACCAGACAGACUGCUGCUGACUCCCAGGAUGCUGAGUUUUACUUAGUUGCUGUGGACAAGCGUGACAAAGAGAAACAGUGAUUACAGAGAGAUGGCACCAGUCAGCACUGCUUUCACCACAGCAACACUGUCCAGCUGCCCAACAGGAAGACAUGGACAAACAACCUGAAGACACAACAGAGAGAAACACAAUCUGUUGGUCAGUCCAGGCUCCAAGGCAGAGAGACGCUCUCACUGCCCAGCUCUUUGCGGAGGACCGAUGUGAAGCAACAGGUGUUGGCCUUCAGUCAGAACAGCUGUCUUUGCAGGCUACAUAACAAAACGU